AGAGAGGGAGGGAGGGAGGGCUAAGUAAAUCCUAACCCUAACCCUAGUGGAGCGAGAGAUAGAGAGAGGGAAGGAUGUUUGGCACGAUGCAAGAGGGGUGGGGCAUGACUUAUAUUCGAGUGUGGUUUCUAAGCGAAUCAGCCCGAUCUCGAAUAAAUAGAUUGAACCGUGCCAGCCCCCAUCCAGUCCAAUUUAGUAUGAUCCGAACAAGCUAGUUCUGCACGGAUUGGCCAUCCUUGCCCCUUUCCCAACUAUUUGGAGUCAGCAGUUUUCCAUAGUUUUUGACAUUUUUUUUACAGCAAACUAACAACUUGAUGUCAACUCUUCACCUUUCUCAUCCAGACUUGGGGCUGGCAAUGACAGUAUGUUAAAAGAAUUCAGUUUUCCUUUUCUUUUCUUUUCUAGCAUGCCAUUCUUUCUGUGAUAGGAGUAAAAAAAAGGUGCAUAUUUGCGGGCGCUAAGCUAAGUUGUUCAGUUUCAUGCUAGAUAACAUCGAUUUAGACCAUUCAAAUUUUGUCAAAGCAAGCUAAGCCUACUCCAAACUCCAGUAAAAAGGUCAUAUUAGAUACAAAAAUCUCCCUUGAAAAAUUAUCAAAAAAUCGCUACAGAAAACCAGC
rnacentral:lncRNA from 1 species